GUAUACAGAAAAACCAAAUUGUCAUCUUUUCCAGCUGGAGAGUUAUUCAUUCGGAUAUAAUGCCACUGCUGUGUGAUCCUGCACACAUCAGUCAUACAGCCACUUGUAUACCCAACGUGUAAGGGGAAAGAGGUAGCUACCUCUAAGAAGCUAUCUAAUAUAAGAUUUUUCCUGCCAUGGUGGGGAGAAACAGCAGCAAUGCUUUGGUGCCUUGGUGCCACGUGCUGUUGCAGCCAGAGGCCUGGAGAGUCACUGAUUGGUUUUGGCAGUCACCUGCCAACCUCAGGCACAACAGGGGAUCAGCAAAGAAAUGUAGGAGAAACAGAAGCUAGGAGGAAUGGCACAAGGAGGCAUUGUGAAGAGAUAUGAGCCAGGAUAUUAAAAUUAC